rnacentral:rRNA from 1 species
AACGAACGCUGGCGGCAUGCCUAACACAUGCAAGUCGAACGAGACCUUCGGGUCUAGUGGCGCACGGGUGCGUAACGCGUGGGAACCUGCCCUUAGGUUCGGAAUAACUCCCCGAAAGGGGUGCUAAUACCGGAUAAUGUCUUCGGACCAAAGAUUUAUCGCCUUUGGAUGGGCCCGCGUUGGAUUAGCUAGUUGGUAGGGUAAAAGCCUACCAAGGCGACGAUCCAUAGCUGGUCUGAGAGGAUGAUCAGCCACACUGGGACUGAGACACGGCCCAGACUCCUACGGGAGGCAGCAGUGGGGAAUAUUGGACAAUGGGCGAAAGCAUGAUCCAGCAAUGCCGCGUGAGUGAUGAAGGCCUUAGGGUUGUAAAGCUCUUUUACCCGGGAUGAUAAUGACAGUACCGGGAGAAUAAGCUCCGGCUAACUCCGUGC